GCGCAGCAGGCGAGAAAACUUCACACUGUGCGAAAGCACGAUGAGGGAAUCCCAAGUGCUUGCACGUAAGUGUAAGCUGUUUCUCUGUCUAAAACGCAGAGAGAGUAAGGGCUGGGUAAGACGGGUGCCAGCCGCCGCGGUAAUACCUGCAGCUCAAGUGGUGACCGUUAUUAUUGGGCCUAAAACGUCCGUAGCCGGUUUAAUAAAUGCCUGGGUAAAUUGUGUAGCUUAACUAUACGAAUUCCGGGUAGACUGUUAAACUUGAGACCGGGAGAAGUUAGAGGUACUCCUGGGGUAGAGGUGAAAUUCUGUAAUCCUAGGGGGACCACCAGUGGCGAAGGCGUCUAACUAGAACGGGUCUGACGGUGAGGGACGAAGCCCUGGGGCGCAAACGGGAUUAGAUACCCGCGUAGU
rnacentral:rRNA from 1 species